UACGGAGGGUGCGAGCGUUUGUCCGGAAUCACUGGGCGUAAAGGGCGCGUAGGUGGCGGUCCAAGUCAACGGUGAAAGCUCGGGGCUCAACCCCGAGUCGGCCGUCGAUACUGGGUUGCUUGAGCACUGUAGAGGCAGAUGGAAUUCCGGGUGUAGCGGUGGAAUGCGUAGAGAUCCGGAAGAACACCGGUGGCGAAGGCGGUCUGCUGGGCAGUAGCUGACACUGAGGCGCGACAGCGUGGGGAGCAACAGG
rnacentral:rRNA from 1 species